rnacentral:rRNA from 1 species
UCCGUAGGUGAACCUGCGGAAGGAUCAUUAUUGAAUUUGAUUUGUUGCCUUCUGUGCUGGCUCCGGCAUGUGCACGUUGGUGACCUUCAUGCAAUACCCUUUUGUGAACCUUUGGCCUCAUGCCGGCUUUGGCUGGCAGAGGAUUUACACAAACUUGAAUGUAACAGAAAGACCUUGUUGUGCGCAAGCACGAAUGUACAACUUUCAACAACGGAUCUCUUGGCUCUCGCAUCGAUGAAGAACGCAGCGAAAUGCGAUAAGUAAUGUGAAUUGCAGAAUUCAGUGAAUCAUCGAAUCUUUGAACGCACCUUGCACCCAUUGGUAUUCCAAAGGGUAUGCUCGUUUGAGUGUCAUUGUACUCUCACACUCUAAUUAAAUUUGGAGACGUGGACUUGGGUGUUGCUGCUUUGCUGUGGCUCAUCUUAAAUAUGCUAGUGCAACUCAUGGUUGGAUAUAGUACAGCGUGAUAAGUAUCUUCGCUGGCACCUCCUCAAGAGGGUAUUCGAUUGGGAGCUCUGUGCUUCAAACUGUCCCAUCUGGGACGAUCUCUGACAACUUGGCCUCAAAUCGAGUAGGACUACCCGCUGAACUUAAGCAUAUCAAUAAGCGGAGGA